CACGGAGUUAGCCGAUGCUGAUUCCUCAGGUACCGUCAGAUCUUCUUCCCUGAGAAAAGCGGUUUACAACCCACAGGCCGUCCUCCCGCACGCGGCGUUGCUCCGUCAGGCUUUCGCCCAUUGCGGAAAAUUC
rnacentral:rRNA from 1 species